UCAGUCGACUCCUACGGGGAGGCAGCAGUGGGGGAAUAUUGCACAAUGGGCGCAAGCCUGAUGCAGCCAUGCCGCGUGUGUGAAGAAGGCCUUCGGGUUGUAAAGCACUUUCAGUCGUGAGGAAGGUAGUGUAGUUAAUAGCUGCAUUAUUUGACGUUAGCGACAGAAGAAGCACCGGCUAACUCCGUGCCAGCAGCCGCGGUAAUACGGAGGGUGCGAGCGUUAAUCGGAAUUACUGGGCGUAAAGCGCAUGCAGGUGGUUUGUUAAGUCAGAUGUGAAAGCCCGGGGCUCAACCUCGGAAUUGCAUUUGAAACUGGCAGACUAGAGUACUGUAGAGGGGGGUAGGAAUUUCAGGUGUAGCGGUGAAAAUGCGUAGAGAUCUAAAGGAAUACCGGUGGCGAAGGCGGCCCCCUGGACAGAUACUGACACUCAGAUGCGAAAGCGUGGGGAGCAAACAGGAUUAGAUACCCUGGUAG
rnacentral:rRNA from 1 species